UACGGGGGGAGCAAGCGUUGUUCGGAUUUACUGGGCGUAAAGGGCGCGUAGGCGGCCACCGCAAGUCGAUUGUGAAAUCUCCGGGCUUAACCCGGAAAGGUCAACCGAUACUGCGGGGCUAGAGUGCAGAAGGGGCAACUGGAAUUCUCGGUGUAGCGGUGAAAUGCGUAGAUAUCGAGAGGAACACCUGUGGCGAAAGCGGCGCACUGGACCACAUCUGACGCUGAGGCGCGAAAGCUAGGGGAGCAAACAGG
rnacentral:rRNA from 1 species